GGAGGGUAUAGCUCAGUGGUAGAGUGCAUGCUUAGCAUGCACGAGGUCCUGGGUUCAAUCCCCAGUGCCUCCA
rnacentral:tRNA from 1 species